ACACGGCCCAGACUCCUACGGGAGGCAGCAGUGGGGAAUAUUGCACAAUGGGCGCAAGCCUGAUGCAGCAACGCCGCGUGCGGGAUGACGGCCUUCGGGUUGUAAACCGCUUUCGCCUGUGACGAAGCGUGAGUGACGGUAAUGGGUAAAGAAGCACCGGCUAACUACGUGCCAGCAGCCGCGGUGAUACGUAGGGUGCGAGCGUUGUCCGGAUUUAUUGGGCGUAAAGGGCUCGUAGGUGGUUGAUCGCGUCGGAAGUGUAAUCUUGGGGCUUAACCCUGAGCGUGCUUUCGAUACGGGUUGACUUGAGGAAGGUAGGGGAGAAUGGAAUUCCUGGUGGAGCGGUGGAAUGCGCAGAUAUCAGGAGGAACACCAGUGGCGAAGGCGGUUCUCUGGGCCUUUCCUGACGCUGAGGAGCGAAAGCGUGGGGAGCGAACAGGCUUAGAUACCCUGGUAGUCCACGCUGUAAACGGUGGGUACUAGGUGUGGGGUCCAUUCCACGGGUUCCGUGCCGUAGCUAACGCUUUAAGUACCCCGCCUGGGGAGUACGGCCGCAAGGCUAAAACUCAAAGGAAUUGACGGGGCCCCGCACAAGCGGCGGAGCAUGCGGAUUAAUUCGAUGCAACGCGUAGAACCUUACCUGGGUUUGACAUGGAUCGGGAGUGCUCAGAGAUGGGUGUGCCUCUUUUGGGGUCGGUUCACAGGUGGUGCAUGGCUGUCGUCAGCUCGUGUCGUGAGAUGUUGGGUUAAGUCCCGCAACGAGCGCAACCCUUGUCCUUAGUUGCCAGCACGUAAUGGUGGGAACUCUAAGGAGACUGCCGGUGACAAACCGGAGGAAGGUGGGGACGACGUCAAGUCAUCAUGGCCCUUACGAGUAGGGCUACACACGUGCUACAAUGGCGCAUACAGAGGGCAGCAAGCUAGCGAUAGUGAGCGAAUCCCAAAAAGUGCGUCGUAGUCCGGAUUGGAGUCUGCAACUCGACUCCAUGAAGUCGGAAUCGCUAGUAAUCGCGAAUCAGAAUGUCGCGGUGAAUACGUUCCCGGGCCUUGUACACACCGCCCGUCACACCAUGGGAGUGGGUUGCAAAAGAAGUGGCUAGUUUAACCUUCGGGAGGACGGUCACCACUUUGUGAUUCAUGACUGGGGUGAAGUCGUAACAAGGUAGCCG
rnacentral:rRNA from 1 species